rnacentral:ncRNA from 2 species
CGGGUAUCCCGCACGUGGUGAACUGCCGGAAGCCAUACGGCGGCAGGAGAGGAAGUCCGGUGCGAAUCCGGCGCGGUCCCGCCACUGUCACCGGGGAGUGCACUCCCAACCCGUACGUCACGGCCGUGUUCGACGGCUGGAAGACCGGGAGUGCGUUGAUCCGGGAGCCAGGAGACUCUCACCGCCGGUCACGUCGAA